UUGAUUUUGAUUUGUUACCUUCUGUGCUGGCUCCUGCAUAUGCACGUUGGUGACUUUCAUACAAUACCCUCUUGUGAACCUUUGGCCUCAUGCUGGCUUUGGCUGGCAGAGGAUUUACACAAACUUGAAUGUAAUGGAAAGACCAUGUUGUGCGCAAGCACUAAUGUA
rnacentral:misc_RNA from 1 species